rnacentral:rRNA from 1 species
AUGGACCUGGGCGGGGUGCUGAUGGCGGCCGCGGACGCGGGGGUGGGCGGCGGGGAGCUCGGCAUGCUCGGAUCUAGGCUGCUCAAGCACGGGAGGGGCAAUGCCGCGGCGGCGGAGGCCGACGAGCGUCACGAGCACGGGUGGGGCGGCGGCAGGCCGGCCGCCAAGCAGGCCCGGGUCGCCGGGGACAGCGACGCCGUGUCCGAGGCCGUCAAGGCGGCCGCGCCAUACCUGCUGGGCACCUGCAGCCCCGGGCACGGCCGGGAGAAGAUGCUCAGCUUCUCCUCCUCGCAGCAGCCGCCCUCCUGCCCCUCCGCCGCCGCCGCCGCUCAGGCCGCGCUGCCGCUCUACUACGGCACGCCCGCUUCUUGCUUAGGGUUGAGCUCGGUGAGCUUGAGCGCCAGCAUCCAGGGCGCCAUGGCCAGGGUGAGGGGGCCCUUCACGCCGUCGCAGUGGAUGGAGCUGGAGCACCAGGCCCUGAUCUACAAGUACCUGGCGGCCAACAUCGCCGUGCCGCACAGCCUCCUCGUCCCCAUCCGCCGGAGCGUCACCUCGCUCUACCCGUCCGCCUACUUUGGCUCCUCCACAUUGGGGUGGGGGCCUUUCCAGCUGGGCUACUCCGGGAGCGCGGACCUGGAGCCCGGGCGGUGCCGCCGGACGGACGGCAAGAAGUGGCGGUGCUCCAGGGACGCCGUCGCUGACCAGAAGUACUGCGAGCGGCAUAUGAACCGGGGACGCCAUCGUUCAAGAAAGCAUGUGGAAGGCCAGCCUGGCCAUGCCGCGAAAGCGAUGCCUGCGACGGUGGCGGCUGCUGCCGCCCAGCCCGGUGCUCUCGCCACCGGGGGCGGCGGCGGAGCCACCGCCGGCGCCGCCAUCUGCCACGAGCAGCAGCCGUUGAAGAGCUACUCCGCCAGCACCAUUGAUCCUUGUUCACUGCAAUACAACAGGGAAAUGGCGAGCAAGCAGCAACACGAGUGCGAGCAAGUGCAGGACUCGGACACCCUCUCGAUGCUGACCUCCAUGAGCGCGAGGAACACCAACACGGGCAGCAUGUUCCCGUUCUCAAAGGAACAUCAUAACCACAAUCCUUUCGAGGUGACGAGCUCGAGGCCGGACUACGGGCUGGUUUCCUCCGACUCGCUGAUGAGCUCCCCCCACAGCUCCCUGGAGAACGUCAACCUGCUCACCUCGCAGCGAGCGCUCUCGAGCGAGCAGCAGAGCUCGCUCUCCCUGCAGCACUUCGCGGACUGGCCGAGGACGCCGUCGCAGCAGGGGCAGGGAGGGGGAGGCCUCUCAUGGCCGGACGCCGAGAACAUGCAGCUGGCUCAUCAGCGGACCCAGCAGCUCUCGGUGUCCGCCGCUCCGAUGGCGUCCUCCGACCUGUCGUCGGCCUCCACGUCCCCCAUCCACGAGAAGCUCAUGCUGUCGCCCCUCAAGCUGAGCCGCGAGUACAGCCCCAUCGGCCUCAGCGUCGCGGCCACGGCGGCAGCGGCGGCGAAGGACGAGGGGGAGGCGAACUGGAUGCCCAUGUUCCGCGACUCGUCCAUGGGCGGGCCACUGGGGGAGGCUCUGAACAAGAACAAUGGCGGCAACAUGGAGGCCAAGAACUACCUGUCGGCGUCGCUGAACCUCAUGACGGACGCCUGGGACUCGAGCCCGCUGGAGUCGUCGCCGGUGGGGGUCCUGCAGAGGACCGCCUUCGGGUCGGUGUCCAGCAGCACCGGCAGCAGCCCCAGGCAGGAGUACCACGGCGUGUAUGAUGGUAAUCCGCGGGAUGAUCUCGGCUCCAUCGUCGUGAAUCACCCCAGCAUCCGCCUCAUGUGA